rnacentral:rRNA from 1 species
GAUGAAUCCUUGUUGGUUUUCUUAGAAGGGGAUGGUAAUUAGAAAAAUAAUUUUAAUGGCUGAGAACGUAGUAAUAUUUAGAACUGUAAUAACAAAAACUAAAGGUGAGAAGUAUCGUGCGAGAAAGUUGAAAUAUUCUGAAAAAUUUAAUAAAAAUAAAGUAGCUGUAGAAGUUCGUACCUUGUGUAUCAGGGAUUUUCUAAAUUUUCUAGAAAUGUAGAGGUCUCGAAUAAAGGAUAGUUAGGAAGGAGGGAAAGUUGUAGUAGCAGAUAUAUUUUAAACUCCUUUUUAGUAGUGAUAUAUUAACCGGGCCUUUUAAUAUCUAGUUCUCCCCGAAAUAAAUUAAAUUUAGGAGAGAUCUCUAAAUUCGGAUUUUAUCUAAUGGCAGGAGGUAAAAGCUUCUUGUUAAACGGUAAUAAAAGGGCUAAUGUUAGGUAAGCUAAGCUAGGCUUAGAAGUAGCUAUGUUCAUAAAGUGUUUUUACUAAAGUGUUUUUGUCUAAGAUUUAUGUUUCUUUUAUUGGUGCUAGGGGGGUAUGGGAGUUAUUUUUAAUAUUCCCAGUAAAAAUGAUAUUAUUAGUAGAAGUUGGUGUGAUUUUAAAAAAAUGUGAAAUGAGGAAGUAAUAUAAAAAGCUGGAGUUAUAAGUUAGGAACUCGGCAAAUUUGACCUCCGCCUGUUUACCAAAAACAUGUCUUUGUGGUUUUAAUAUAAAGUCUGACCUGCCCAUUGACUUGAAGUUAAAAGGCCGCGGUAUACUGACCGUGCGAAGGUAGCAU